CGAAACUGGCAGGCUAGAGUCUUGUAGAGGGGGGUAGAAUUCCAGGUGUAGCGGUGAAAUGCGUAGAGAUCUGGAGGAAUACCGGUGGCGAAGGCGGCCCCCUGGACAAAGACUGACGCUCAGGUGCGAAAGCGUGGGGAGCAAACAGGAUUAGAUACCCUGGUAGUCCACGCCGUAAACGAUGUCGAUUUGGAGGUUGUGCCCUUGAGGCGUGGCUUCCGGAGCUAACGCGUUAAAUCGACCGCCUGGGGAGUACGGCCGCAAGGUUAAAACUCAAAUGAAUUGACGGGGGCCCGCACAAGCGGUGGAGCAUGUGGUUUAAUUCGAUGCAACGCGAAGAACCUUACCUGGUCUUGACAUCCACAGAACUUUCCAGAGAUGGAUUGGUGCCUUCGGGAACUGUGAGACAGGUGCUGCAUGGCUGUCGUCAGCUCGUGUUGUGAAAUGUUGGGUUAAGUCCCGCAACGAGCGCAACCCUUAUCCUUUGUUGCCAGCGGUCCGGCCGGGAACUCAAAGGAGACUGCCAGUGAUAAACUGGAGGAAGGUGGGGAUGACGUCAAGUCAUCAUGGCCCUUACGACCAGGGCUACACACGUGCUACAAUGGCAUAUACAAAGAGAAGCGACCUCGCGAGAGCAAGCGGACCUCAUAAAGUAUGUCGUAGUCCGGAUUGGAGUCUGCAACUCGACUCCAUGAAGUCGGAAUCGCUAGUAAUCGUAGAUCAGAAUGCUACGGUGAAUACGUUCCCGGGCCUUGUACACACCGCCCGUCACACCAUGGGAGUGGGUUGCAAAAGAAGUAGGUAGCUUAACCUUCGGGAGGGCGCUUACCACUUUGUGAUUCAUGACUGGGGUGAAGUCGUAACAAGGUAACCGUAGGGGAACCUGCGGUUGGAUCACCU
rnacentral:rRNA from 1 species